AACAUUUAUCAAAAUAUAAUCUAAAUUUUUGACGUUUAGGGCCAAAUUAGAAAGAUUCAGUUGACAGCUGCCGUACCGUAGAACGUACCGAUGGUAUCUAAAUUAUUUGUUUACAUACAUACACAUAACAUUACUCAUCGUGCCUUUUACUACAAUAACAUUAUUUUGACCCUAAUUUUGAAGAUUUGCAGCGGAUAUGAGUAAAAUGAAAGUGAAAUUGGUUUGAUUGAUUUCGCUCGUUUUGCGCUCCGAAGCCGCC